AUCCUUUCUGGGAAGCGUAGUCUUAGGUGUCUGGAGAAGUCGCCCGGUUUCUGCUUGCUGGUCGCGAAAUUUUAUAGCUAUAAUUAACUCAGGGCGGAACAGCUAGCAGAAUCCUCAGCGUUCGGGCAAAGGGCAGAGAAUCCAGCCAGAAGCAACAUGUAGAUCUAAUGACCUUCUCCAGGAGUCGAGGACCCACUACCUCGCUGAAUUCUCAGAGUCAAAAUGCGUCUCUACCUGCUGGUCCCAGAACAGUCCCCUGCUGCUGCAUUGAAUGAAUCUCAUCUCACUUCCUCGAGUCAGCCCUACCUAUAUUUGAUGAUCACAAACCUUAUCCUUACGUUGCCAGCAGUAACAUUCUGCAUCCCUCACCCACUCCACUGUGUCCUUUUCCUCCCACUGAUCUUCACUCUGCCUUUUCUAGGGGAACUCUGAACAGUAUUUCUGAGAAGGGGUAGGUAAUGUGCGCUUUGCUUC
rnacentral:lncRNA from 1 species